UGGAACGUCAUUUCGUGACAAGUCCAAACGGAUGAUCCAGCAAUCCUCUGUAUCGUUUGGUAAAUCGUUUUCAUCAUUGGUGCCCAAACUGUGAAAUUUUGGGGGGAGCCUGAGAGAAUAGCCCUAAAAAAACGAUCAAUUGCGUCAGGGUCAAGUGAAGGAAACGAACAGCAAAUGAGAAAUUGUGGAUACAAUUGAAGAGAAUUCAACGAUUGAAAUGACGAAGGUUUCCACGAAGGAAGACAUAAGUGCCAAAUUUGCCGUAAUGUUUCUUUAUGAAGAGAAUCAAAAGAAAAUCGAAAGAAAAAUAUAAUUUACCCGGUUGGAGAUCCGCCGUAGGCAGUGGCUA